GGAUGAACGCUAGCGGCAGGCCUAACACAUGCAAGUCGAACGGUAACAGCAGAGCUUGCUCUGGCUGACGAGUGGCGCACGGGUGCGUAACGCGUAUACAAUCUACCUUUUACAGAGAGAUAGCCUUUAGAAAUGAAGAUUAAUACCUCAUAGUAUGAUAAUAAGGCAUCUUAUUAUUAUUAAAGCUUCGGCGGUAAAAGAUGAGUAUGCGUUCUAUUAGCUAGAUGGUGUGGUAACGGCACACCAUGGCAACGAUAGAUAGGGGCCCUGAGAGGGGGAUCCCCCACACUGGUACUGAGACACGGACCAGACUCCUACGGGAGGCAGCAGUGAGGAAUAUUGCACAAUGGACGAAAGUCUGAUGCAGCCAUGCCGCGUGCAGGAUGAAUGCCCUACGGGUUGUAAACUGCUUUUAUACAGGAAGAAACCCCCGAACGUGUUCGGGGCUGACGGUACUGUAAGAAUAAGGACCGGCUAACUCCGUGCCAGCAGCCGCGGUAAUACGGAGGGUCCAAGCGUUAUCCGGAUUUAUUGGGUUUAAAGGGUCCGUAGGCGGGAAAUUAAGUCAGUGGUGAAAGCCUACAGCUCAACUGUAGAACUGCCAUUGAAACUGAUUUUCUUGAAUAUAGAUGAAGUGGGCGGAAUAUAUCAUGUAGCGGUGAAAUGCAUAGAUAUGAUAUAGAACACCGAUUGCGAAGGCAGCUCACUAAACUAUUAUUGACGCUGAGGGACGAAAGCGUGGGGAGCGAACAGGAUUAGAUACCCUGGUAGUCCACGCCGUAAACGAUGAUUACUCGAUGCUAGCAAUAUACUGUUAGUGUCUAAGCGAAAGCGAUAAGUAAUCCACCUGGGGAGUACGGUCGCAAGAUUGAAACUCAAAGGAAUUGACGGGGGCCCGCACAAGCGGUGGAGCAUGUGGUUUAAUUCGAUGAUACGCGAGGAACCUUACCUGGGCUUAAAUGUAUUUUGACAGACUGGGAAACCAGUCCUUCUUCGGACAAUUUACAAGGUGCUGCAUGGUUGUCGUCAGCUCGUGCUGUGAGGUGUCGGGUUAAGUCCCAUAACGAGCGCAACCCCUAUCCUUAGUUGCCAGCGAGUAAUGUCGGGGACUCUAAGGAAACUGCCCGCGCAAGCGGAGAGGAAGGUGAGGACGACGUCAGGUCAUCACGGCCCUUAUGUCCAGGGCUACACACGUGCUACAAUGGCGGAUACAAAGGGCAGCUACUUGGUGACAAGAUGCUAAUCUCAAAAGUCCGUCUUAGUUCGGAUCGAAGUCUGCAACUCGACUUCGUGAAGCUGGAAUCGCUAGUAAUCGUGAAUCAGCCAUGUCACGGUGAAUACGUUCCCGGGCGGUGUACAC
rnacentral:rRNA from 1 species